UCUAAGAGAAAUUAAUUAAUAAACGAAGUGAAUUGAAAUAUCUUAUUAACUUCAGGAAAAUAAAUCAAACGAGAUUCUAUGAUUAACGUGAGUUAAAAUGGAUAAGCCUAAACAUAAACACGGAUUAAAACUUAUAAUUAAAAUGGUAUAAAUUCUGUUUGAAAAAAGGGGAACCUUCCUCUAAGGCUAAAUAUGAUACAUAAGAUAUAGAGAAAAGUACCGUGAGGGAACAUAAAGAAAGAGUAAUCUUAUAAGUAACUAUAAUAAAAUUAAAAAUAUAUUAAUAGUGUACCUUUUGCAUAAUGGGUCAGCAAGUUAAUGUUAGAUGCGAGCUAUAAAAGCCCAGAUAAACCAAUUAUGGAAUAAUGAAUUAGUAUCUAAUAUUAGACCCGAAGCCUAGUGAUCUUACCAUGAUCAGGAUUAUAAAAGUCCGAACGGGUUAUCGUUGUAUAGAUAUCCGAAGAAUCGUGGUAAGUUGAUGAAAGAUAACACUGACUAGGAUAGCUGGUUUUCUGCGAAACCUAUCUAAGUAGGUAAUUCAAAUAAAAUCUUAGCAGGUACAUAAUUAGUUCUCUGGCAAAUUAUUUUAAUUUGCAUACAUCGUGGGAAUUUGAGAGAAUUCUUCGGGGAAUAAUUAAUAUCGGAAGGGUAAAGAUAGUGGAUAAUGUACAUAAUUUUGAAUAGUCAGACAUAAAAUGCUAAGGUUAUAUGUCUAAAGGGAAACAGCCCAGAACAAGUGUUAAUAAGGUUCCAAAAUUAUUGUUGAGUGAAAUAAAAGAAGUCAUUGUUUUAUACGAUCAGGAAAUAGGCUUAGGGGCUGCCAUUUUUUAAAGAACUCGUAAUAGAGCACUGAUUUACAGUUUAACUGAUUAACAAAAAUAUAUUUUUGUUAAAAUGAUGGUACUGAAGAUAUAACGGAUCUAAAUAAUAUACCGAUACCUUGUUUACAUUAAUACUAAAAAACUCUUUAAAUAUUAAUGUAGGGUAGCAGAACAUUGAGCAAAUAUAAAGUUUAUUGUUUUUAAUAAUUGUAACUAAAUAACUCAAGUGAUAAUGCUGACAUGAGUAACGAAAGGAUAAGACCUAACUCUAUAUUGAGUGGGGCUCCCGCCUUAAGCUUAAACAUUUAGCAAAAAGUAACGGUUACUAAGUUUUAAACCCAAAAGGGUUAAACGAUGAAUAUAAUCUAAAACAUACUUAAAACUUUAGUAUAUUAAUACGUGUGAUGUAUAUUUAUAAGGAUUAAAAACAGAUUUUGGUAUAUAAAUAUAUAAAUAGAGAUAAAAGCUUGCACCUAUGUUAAUAAAAGUGAUAAAGUUCUGGAAACAAGUGUGUUUGUUUUAAUUACCGUAGCUGAUCAAGUUAAAGUAAAGCAAGUAGAGAAUACGAAGGCGUUAGAGAUAACAAUCAUUAAGGAACUCGGCAAAUUGACUCACGUAACUUCGGGAGAAGGAGUGCCGUUCACCUAAUUAAUAUUAGACAAGAAAAGGAGACAUAAAAUGGUGUUGUACGACUGUUUAAUUAAAACAAAGCACUUUGCGCAAGAUGUUAAAUCAAAGUAUUGAGUGUGAUGUCUGCCCAAUAUCGGCUGGUUAACGGAUUUACUUGAUUAACUGAAAUAAGUCAGGUUUAGAAGGAACCCCCGAGCAAUGGCGGCCUUAACUAUGAGGGUCCUAAGGUAGCGAAACUACUUGGCCGCUAAAUACGGUCCUGCAUUAAUGAUGUAACGAUACAACAGCUGUCUCAAUGAUUGGCUCGGUGAAAUUGUAAUAGCAGUGCAGAUACUGCUUACUUCUAGAAAGACGAGAAGACCCUUUGCAGCUUUACUGUUACUAAUUACUGGGUAUGAUACAACUGGUUUUAGUGUAUAAGGUAGUCGAUUAAACUCAAUUGAAACACCUUUAUUUAGUUUAUCAUAUAAGUAGAUGAUGUUUGUACUAGUAUAUUGCUAGAUAUUUUUGCUUAUUUAAAAAGUGAAACCUUGAUUAAGCUAAUCUACAAAUUUAUUUUACUGUGACUUAUUCUUAUCUUAAAGAAAACAGUUGUUAGGAGACAGUUUAUGCGGGGCACAGCUCCCUUAAAGAGUACCAGGGUAUAUCCAAAAUUAUUUUAGUAAACUUGCGAUAUGCAAUAUAUUUAUUUUUAAUCAGUCAUUGGUAAUUUUAAUUAUCAAUUCGAUAUUUAUCUAUUUAAUUUAGAAUUUUUUUUUAUGAAAGUAGAAUUUAAACUAUAUUGAACAUAGAUGUAAUCAGAAAUGUAUAGUGUUUACACUAUAAAGAUUUUCGGUUUGUAUAUAGGUUUAUAAACCUAUAUAUAGAUUAUUAUUUUUACUAGAAAGGUUUAACGGCUAGAUUCUGCUUUACUGUUUGACUUACAAGUCUAUCAGUCGCGUAAGCGGGGCAUAUGAUCACAAGACAUUAAAAGGAAAGGUCUUGGGUUAUUGAGAAAAGCUACGCUAGGGAUAACAGGCUAAUUGCGCCAGAGAGCACAAAUUGAGUGCGCAGUUUGGCACCUCGAUGUCGGCUUAGCUCAUCCACAUGAAUGCAAGAAUCAUGAAGGGUGCGACUGUUCGUCGAUUAAAGAGCUACACGAGCUGGGUUAAAUACGUCGUGAGACAGUAUGGUUUCUAUCUUCUAGAAGAUAUAAGAACAAAAAAAGGACAGCCCCAUGUACGAAAGGAGUUGGGUAUGUUAACCUAUGGUUUACCUGUUGUUUAUUUACUUGUAAAUGCAAAAACAUUUGCAAUUUCCCAAUAUUAACCUUAUAAGUACGGUUACUAUUGUCAAUUUAACUAAACAUUUUUAUAGUUAAUAGAUGUUAUAACUUGGAAAAUAAUGUUAUAUAAGUGUACGAUUAUCGUCGUGCAUUCAUAUAGGAUUUAUAUUUACGCUUAAAUAUAAGUGAGUUAGGCAUAGCAGGAACGCUAAGUUAAUUAAAAAUAAGUGCUGAAUGAAUCUAGGCACGAAAUAUACCUUUAUAUGUUUUUGUAAAAGGUAGUUUAACACUACCUAUUUAUGAUCUAGUAGAUCAUAAAAAUAGGCUUUAGCUUAAAUAAUUUUAAUAUUUUUAGGCAUAAAGUACUAA
rnacentral:rRNA from 1 species